rnacentral:rRNA from 1 species
AUCUCAGUUCGGAUCGCAGGCUGCAACCCGCCUGCGUGAAGUUGGAAUCGCUAGUAAUCGCGGAUCAGCAUGCCGCGGUGAAUACGUUCCCGGGCCUUGUACACACCGCCCGUCACACCAUGAGAGUCGGGAAUACCCGAAGUCCGUAGCCUAACCGCAAGGGGGCGCGGCCGAAGGUGGGUUCGAUAAUUGGGGUGAAGUCGUAACAAGGUAAC